CUCUAGAUGGCUGAUUAAAGCAAUGGAAUUUUAAACCAUUUUAUAGUAAUUUUACUUCUAGUGA
rnacentral:tRNA from 1 species